UUACCCGCUGAACUUAAGCAUAUCAAUAAGCGGAGGAAAAGAAACUAACAAGGAUUCCCCUAGUAACUGCGAGUGAAGCGGGAAAAGCUCAAAUUUAAAAUCUGGCGGUCUUUGGCCGUCCGAGUUGUAGUCUGGAGAAGUGCUUUCCGCGCUGGACCGUGUAUAAGUCUCUUGGAACAGAGCGUCAUAGAGGGUGAGAAUCCCGUCUUUGACACGGACUACCAGUGCUUUGUGAUGCGCUCUCAAAGAGUCGAGUUGUUUGGGAAUGCAGCUCAAAAUGGGUGGUGAAUUCCAUCUAAAGCUAAAUAUUGGCGAGAGACCGAUAGCGAACAAGUACCGUGAGGGAAAGAUGAAAAGCACUUUGGAAAGAGAGUUAAACAGUACGUGAAAUUGCUGAAAGGGAAACGCUUGAAGUCAGUCGCGUUGUCCGGAACUCAGCCUUGCUUUCGCUUGGUGCACUUUCCGGAUGACGGGUCAGCAUCGAUUUUGACCGUCGGAAAAGGGCUGGAGUAAUGUGGCACCUCCGGGUGUGUUAUAGACUCCGGUCGCAUACGGCGGUUGGGAUCGAGGAACGCAGCGCGCCGCAAGGCAGGGGUUCGCCCACUUUCGCGCUUAGGAUGCUGGCAUAAUGGCUUUAAACGACCCGUCUUGAAACACGGACCAAGGAGUCUAACAUACCUGCGAGUGUUUGGGUGGCAAACCCGAGCGCGUAAUGAAAGUGAAAGUUGAGAUCCCUGUCGUGGGGAGCACCGACGCCCGGACCUGACGUUCUCUGACGGAUCCGCGGUAGAGCAUGUAUGUUGGGACCCGAAAGAUGGUGAACUAUGCCUGAAUAGGGUGAAGCCAGAGGAAACUCUGGUGGAGGCUCGUAGCGAUUCUGACGUGCAAAUCGAUCGUCAAAUUUGGGUAUAGGGGCGAAAGACUAAUCGA
rnacentral:rRNA from 1 species